AAAGAAGGGACGUUCCUGGGGGGAAACUCUUGGGAUCUGAGAGGGAUCUCUCCUUGGAAACCUGGAGGAGGGGGCGCUAGGUUGGGAGGAUCUCGAGUGGGACUUCUGUGUUUGGGGACUCAGAGAGGACUGGUCUGAGGACAGGCCUCCGCGAGGGAUGACACUUUACCUCACUUUCCCUGUGGCUAUGUUCUGGAUUUCCAAUCAGGCUGAGUGGUUUGAAGACUAUGUCAUACAGCGUAAGGUGGGCACAAGAAGAGUGUUCAUGGGUUCAUUCCAGGAGUGGGGGAGGAUAUUGGACACCAACCUGCUGGGGACCAAUGUCUGCCUCCCAACCCUGCCCUGGAUGUGGGGAUCUGGAAGCUCCUAACUCAUACUCCCAGCUGUGACUUUGUCUCCACAGAGGGAGUUGUGGCCACCUGAGAAGGAAGGCCAGCGUCAAGAGCUAGAAGAAUUCAAAGAGAGGAUACGGAAACAGCGGGAGGAGAGGCUUCUCCGUGCU